UCAGAGUGAACGCUGGCGGCAGGCCUAACACAUGCAAGUCGAACGGCAGCACAGCAGUAGCAAUACUGUGGGUGGCGAGUGGCGGACGGGUGAGGAAUACAUCGGAAUCUACCUUGUCGUGGGGGAUAACGUAGGGAAACUUACGCUAAUACCGCAUACGACCUACGGGUGAAAGCGGAGGACCGCAAGGCUUCGCGCGAUAAGAUGAGCCGAUGUCGGAUUAGCUAGUUGGCGGGGUAAUGGCCCACCAAGGCGACGAUCCGUAGCUGGUCUGAGAGGAUGAUCAGCCACACUGGAACUGAGACACGGUCCAGACUCCUACGGGAGGCAGCAGUGGGGAAUAUUGGACAAUGGGCGCAAGCCUGAUCCAGCCAUGCCGCGUGGGUGAAGAAGGCCUUCGGGUUGUAAAGCCCUUUUGUCCGGAAAGAAAAGCAUCGGGCUAAUACCUCGGUG
rnacentral:rRNA from 1 species